CACUAAUUGGUGUUUCGUGGCGACAUCGUCGCUACUAAAGUUGAGCUUUUGUAUCAACUUCUUAGGUCGUUACUAAUAUUUUUAUUUUAAUAUCGGUACUUCAAUUUCUUAAUUUAGAUAAUUCAAAAAGAAAAGAGAAAGGAGAAACACAAAACAUAAAGAAACUCAAAAUGAUUAAAAGAAAAACCUAAAAUGGUUUCCCCCCUUGCAAUUCGGAAACCCAUUUAGGGAGUUAUCUAUCUACCUCUUCCAAAUCUGAAAACCCAAAAUCCCUCUAAAUUCCCCAAUUCCCUCUCCCAUUCCUACUUUACCCAAUUUCCUCUCCCUAAAAUUCCUCCUCAAUUUUGCUGCUUAUCUUCUAUUGCAAAUUCACCUCUUUCCUCAUUCCCCCUUUGGUUUAUUUGUUUAUUUAGAUACAUAGCAAAAUCAUUAGAAAUAUAGCCUCACCUACUCCGGCCAAAUUGUCUCACAGAAAGAGAACCACUCCCGUCGCUGGCGAAAUCUCUUCUUUCCGUCUCAUUCUCUGGAAAAUAGAACAUUGAGUUCCUUAUCAUUUUUUUUCUGUAGAUUUUGUGCUCUGUGCUCUCACGUGACCCAUUUUCUAUGUUUUGAUGGUAUGCUUUGUUGCAUUGGUGUAUGUUUCUGAAUCGGUUCGCCGACGUGGUUUUACACAUUUGAACCAUUUCUCUUCCAUCUUCCUCACCUGUUGAGGUAUGUUUUUCUUUUUUCAAGAUAUUUUCAUCAGUUUCUGAUUUUUGUUUGGUUGUAUAUAUAUAUCAUUUGGAUGUAUUUUCAAUUUCCAAUCCCAGAGAAAUAGGAGCAAUAGAAGCUCCUCCUUUGCUUGAUGAAAUUCAAUGAUGGAUGUAUUGCUCUCUUUGAUGAGUUUUCUCUUUUGCUCUUGGUAUAAGUAUCCAUUUGGACAUAGAUUGUCCUUCUAUUCCUAUCUGCUGCCAAGUACUACUGUUGCGAUAGCUAACGAUUUAUUUCUAAUAUAAUAAAAAUCCUUGCUAAUGUGUUAUGUGAGUUUAUUUGAGGAGAUAAAUUGCAAGCAUAUAUUUUUUUACUGGUUAGUUGUAGCAAUAUUAUCAAUUUAAUCUAAUUCGUGCAAGACAGUUUAAAUAAAUUAUAUUGCCUUAUACCAAUAUAAGAAAAGUUACUUUUCUUGAACCAAUUUAUGUAUAGUUAUAUGCAUAAUCUCUAUGAUGAGUUCUCUGGUGGCCCUCCUCCCUAUUGGUUUGCUUACUGUAAUCUAUCUUUCCUUCUCUGCGUACUCGGUUUAUCUAUUUUCUUAAAAUGAAAAUACGAACAAAUCUGGAUUAACUUUCUUAUAUGAUUAUUAUGUUAGAUUUUGUUUGUUGGAUAUGAGUUCUCUUUGAUAUUAUCGUUUAGAUUUGCACUGCAAUUUGCAAUUAUUCAUGUUUAUAAUUUAGGGACAAGUAUUAUCACAUUUGUUCUAGGGUUACAUAUUGAGAUAAUUAGUGUACACAUAAAUAUUGUUGUUCUGUAUGCAGGUGAUGAAUGUUUACAAUAAGUAGUAUAUGCCUUUAAAAGAUUAGUGAUCUAGGUGCUUAAUUGCUGGCAGAAAAAGAGAAUUGGGGUAUUAAAGUACAUGUUUAUUUGCUUUAAGAAUCGUUGUUGGUUGUUCAAGAAUUUUCAUCUUUUUGAAAACUAAAAAAGAAAAGGCCUUCGGACUGAUUUUUUCUUCUAUAUCAUGCAGGAUACUCCAUGGAAUCUACUCAACCAUCAUUUUUUGGGACUGGAUAUUUUCUUUGGCAGAUAGAUUUAUCCCUUGUUAGGUGUGUUUUCUAUUCUUCAUUUUUUCUUGAGUUUAGAACAUCCAGAUUUUGAUUCUUUGAUCUGCUUCUUAUAUUAUGUUGUCCCCUGUAAGAAAUUAUCAUUGGAAGGUUAAUAAAGAAAUGCUUUAAACUAGAAGAUUAAUUGCAGCCCAAUAGCCUGAUUUUCCUGCUCGUUUCUAUCAUCACUUUGGAGGAGUCCGAGAAUGGGCUGAAGCGAUGAGAGAUGUUUGAAGAAGAAAACUUGUAGAACUUGGAACAACUUCAUGUAUUAAUGUAUGACUAUGAAAUAAAGAAAAAAUUGAAAUCUUUAAAUGAUAUGAAACCAUGUUAGAUUCGAUAGGAUGUCGGGACUAUUAUAAGGAGCUUAUUCUUUAAGUUUGAGACAAAAUCCUGGGGCUGCAUAAUAUAUGUAUUAACUAUAGCAAUACUACUAUCUUCUACCUUCACUAUAUUGGCACAGAGGAAAUUAUAUCUUUAGAUUAUACAACUUCAUUGUUAUGAGGGCUCUAUCUACUCAGUUGAAUUACCCCCAGCUACUUCUAUCUUGAAGCUCCAGAUUAUUGUUCUAGUUAUCGAGUUCUACCACCAUUUAUUCUGUACAUUUAAGCACUUUUACCUGUUAUUUUGUGUAAACCACAAAAUAUUAUGUUCAGUGCAUAAACUAAAAAAAGUUUUUGCUGCUUCUGACCAUUCAUUUUAGUGUGUUAUAUAGUGUUCCUACAAGAUAAUUGUGACUCAAUUAUGUGUAAAACGAUAUUUAGUUUCUUUUUGACAAUAAAAUGUUGGCUUGUAAUAUAGUGUUGCGUGUUUAUGUGAAAUUUAGGUUUCUAAUUAGGCCUAUGAAGCACUCGAUAAAAUGCCGAGAGAAAUCAGGGUUUAUAAUUUGUUAUAAUUUUGAGAGUGCAAGCCUAUUUAUGAUAUUGUGCAUGCAGAAGCGUCUGUCUAAGUUAUACUAGUCUAUUUUCGCUGAAGUAUUCUAAUACCCAAAAGUGACUUCUGGAUGUGCUAUAUAUAGCAAAACUGCUUUAUUUUUGGAUUACACAAAAUGUUCAAAGGUGAUAAAUUAGUUUCUUUCAUUUCAUAUUUGUCUCCCUAAAAAAUAAUUUAGAGUUGCUGAUUUACAAAUUAGUUUGUAGUUUCUGAACCCUUUUACCUGUUUUUCUUGCCAAAUACUUUGAGCUUUUAGGCAAUGUAAGAGAAAUAUGUAUUAGUGUAAAGAUUGUGUAUCCUUUUCGAAUUUGCUCUCUACUUUAAAGGCAGACCUUUUCAGUUAUGUUCUCUGUACUUUAAGUUGUCUUGACUAGUGGGUGUAAGCAACUUUAUGUGGUCAUUCUUUUUUACGAUUAGUGUUAUUAUGGGAAUUGUCAAAGUAAUCCUGUAUUUUUUCCUUAAUAACAGGGACACGUACUUGCACAAUCACAAAUGGAGUCGAACAAAGAGGAGCUUGAAGGCCCUUAAUAUUUUAUUUUUAUUUUUCAUAUAUGUGCACAAUGAUAAUGAAUAAUGAAGUAUUCUACUGUAUAUUUAAUUGCCUUUUAGUAAUGAAAGUAUUUAUAAUAUUCCGCUUGAAAAUAUUUUUGGUGUUUGUUGAAUGAUAUUGGAUGCUUUUAAUAUUGGUAAACGAUUCACAUGAAUAUACUUGUGUACUAACUUAAAAAGAAAAUAAGGUUGCCACUGGAAGACUAUUAAGAUUUAAAACAUAG
rnacentral:lncRNA from 1 species